rnacentral:tRNA from 1 species
GGUUCCGUGGUGUAGUGGUUAUCACAUCUGCUUUACACGCAAAAGGUCGCCAGUUCGAUCCUGGCCGGAAUCA